AGCAAUGAGAGGGUUGAGAGAGUGAAGUGAACGUGAGAAUAGAGAGAAAGAGUGAGCUGCAAUGGCAGCAGCCUUGCUGCCAUUGCAGCAAAAGAGCUGGGAGUUGAGUUUGAGUGAAGUGAUCCUCCUCCUCCAUAUAUGUUGUAAUCCUUUCUCUAUAUAUCUCUAAUAAUAUGGACUCUCCCGUGGAUGUAGGCGGUUUUGCCGAACCACGUAAAAUAUUGUGUCAGUGUGCUUUACCCUCCGUUGAGCAACUAUCAGUACACCCCCG
rnacentral:lncRNA from 1 species